rnacentral:rRNA from 1 species
GCUACCAUGCAGUCGAGCGGAACGACACUAACAAUCCUUCAGGUGCGUUAAUGGGCGUCGAGCGGCGGACGGGUGAGUAAUGCCUAGGAAAUUGCCUUGGUGUGGGGGAUAACCAUUGGAAACGAUGGCUAAUACCGCAUGAUGCCUACGGGCCAAAGAGGGGGACCUUCGGGCCUCUCGCGUCAAGAUAUGCCUAGGUGGGAUUAGCUAGUUGGUGAGGUAAUGGCUCACCAAGGCGACUAUCCCUAGCUGGUCUGAGAGGAUGAUCAGCCACACUGGAACUGAGACACGGUCCAGACUCCUACAGGAGGCAGCA